GAGUGUUGAAUUUUUCGAUCUGUGUAUGAUUACCUAGAUGAUUCUUACUUUACCUUGGACCAAGACGAACGAUCACAGAUGAUGAGGAUCCUAUAUAUGGCUUGAAACUGCUAAUGGAUCAAUCCAACAAGUUGAACAAGAGGUAAAAAUGUGUAGAGAAAGAAAAAUUCACUGAAGACUGAGUUUGAAGAUGGUUAUAUAGAUGAUGGAUGGACUUGAACCAGCUCUGAAGGAAAUGCUUGAUAGGGAAGUAGAGGAUUUUGCUCGGAGACUGAACUCUAAUUGGGUUGUGUCUCUAGAACAAGAAAGGCAGCCUGUGCACUUUUCCAUAACCCUUUUUAAUUUUCACAGCAAAUGUAACAAUAUAUCACAAAGGAUAUGUUGAACUGAAUCACUUACUAAUUUUAAACCAUAUAGAGACUUGAAUAUAGCUAUAGAUGAAUGAUGGGAGAUGCCGAGAUGGUUUGCCUCCGUUUUGAACUUUGAUUGGAUUUUACAAAUACUACAGAUGUGAUCAAGAUCUUUGCAGCUUUUCUGCUUCUUCCUUUGUAACUUUUCAGGUAAUGGUGGGGGUCACUCAGGCUGGUUGUCGUUUUGGAUGGCAAGCCUAUGCAAGAGUUUGAUGGAGUUGAUCAGGAAGGUUAUCAUGCCUCGUCCCAUCCCGCUGCACUGGUGGAUCAUAGCAGCUUAAGUAACUCAGAGUCAGGCGAAAUGCAAAGCAAAGAAAGAAAAAAAUAACAAACAAAACUGUAAAAGGAUUUUCUAUUUACAGGUAAAGAGGGAGGAGGUGAGUGGUCUGAUGUCUCUUCCGUUAUACUUGAUGAAACUUCAUCUAUACUUGAUGAAGCUUCAGACCCUCCAUAGUAUGACGAUGUACUAGCAGACCGACAAGAACUGAAGCCCCUGAAAGCCAGAUAAGAGAGCUCGGACAUCCAUUCUAGGUUCCCUGCAUUGGUUACGCACAUGUUUAAGUAAUAAAGCAUCAACUGCUGUAUCUAUAUGGAAAAAAAGAGGACUCUCUGGCUUAAACCUUGUAUGAAUGAGAUGUCCUUUGCAGACAAACCGAAUAUGACAAGUCACAGAUGCAUGUUGGCAGACAAAGUUAGCUUUCCUCGAUCUCAAAUCUACCAUUUUCCUACAAAUUGAUCACCACCACCAAUGUCAAACUCGAAGUGUCUUAAGUUACUUUUUCUAGGAUAAAAAAAAUUUCCUAAAAGAAAAAGAAAUCGGAUUUUUGAGGUUACUAUAAAUACAUAUCUAAAGGAUUGCAAAUUUAUUUAUUUAUAUAUCAAUAUACAAACCAUAAACAAGUAUGUCUUAAUUCGUUUUGCUCUUUUAAGUUUCUUUGAUUUUUUCAAGUUCUCGUUCAUUCAUAACAAAGCAAGUGAGAGUCUAAGACAAGAAUACGUUGAAUAGUGUUUGUCUGCAGCUGCUCCCAUUACAAACUUCCUGACUCUCUUCUCAGAAAUCAUCUGCACAAUUCCCUUCUCUACCGAGUCCAGAAAUCAGAGCUUUUCUGCAUGGACCUGCAAAAUCAAUCCCCUUAAGAAAUGGCAGAAACUUCAUAUUUGUAUAUAUAUAUAUAUAGGCAUACCCCUUUCUGCAGGCAAAUUCUAAGCAUGGAACUUGGUACCCACUGGAGAGAGGAAAGGUAAAAAAAAACUCUUUAAGCUCUGUUUCAUGACACAACCAUUGAAUCUAUGGACUUUAGGAGUUGUUGGAGUGAAGGGGGAGAGAAAGAACUUACAAACAGGAAUCAUUUGAGCAGGUUGGUGAACAAGAACGAUACA